rnacentral:rRNA from 1 species
AGCUCCAAUAGCGUAUAUUAAAGUUGUUGCAGUUAAAAUGUUCGUAGUUGAAAUUCUGUUAAUGAGAGCAGGUCAUUUCAUUGAGUAUGUACUUGCUGUCAUUGGCAUUAGUCCAAGUAUGCAAUAGGCAACUGUUGAGUAUUUGGAGCUGUUACUUUGAGAAAAUUAGAGUGUUUCAAGCAAGCGUAAUGCCUGAAUACUCCAGCAUGGAAUAACGAGUAAGGACUCAAUUCCUUCUUGUUGGUUUAAGGGACUGAGUAAUGAUUAAAAGGAACGGUCGGGGGUAUUCGUUCUUAGUUGUCAGAGGUGAAAUUCUUAGAUUGGCUGAAGACGAACUACUGCGAAGGCAUCUACCAUGGAUGUUUUCA